rnacentral:rRNA from 1 species
AUUGAACGCUGGCGGCAGGCCUAACACAUGCAAGUCGAACGAGUGGCGGACGGGUGAGUAAUGUCUGGGAAACUGCCUGAUGGAGGGGGAUAACUACUGGAAACGGUAGCUAAUACCGCCUACCAUCCGAUUUGCCCAGAUGGGUUUAGCUUGUUGGUGGGGUAACGGCUCACCAAGGCGACGAUCCCUAGCUGGUCUGAGAGGAUGACCAGCCAAAAUGGACCUGAGAAACGGUCCAGACUCCAACGGGAGGAAGCAGUGGGGAAUAUUGCACAAUGGGCGAAAGCCUGAUGCAGCAAUGCCGCGUGUAUGAAGAAGGCCUUCGGUUUGUAAAGUACUUUCAGCGGGGAGGCGUUACCCGCAGAAGAAGCACCGGCUAACUCCGUGCCAGCAGCCGCGGUAAUUC